rnacentral:rRNA from 1 species
UACAGAGGGUGCGAGCGUUAAUCGGAAUUACUGGGCGUAAAGCGCACGUAGGUGGCGACGUAAGUCGGGUGUGAAAGCCCCGGGCUCAACCUGGGAAUUGCAUUCGAGACUGCAUUGCUGGAGUACGGAAGAGGAAGGCGGAAUUCCCGGUGUAGCGGUGAAAUGCGCAGAUAUCGGGAGGAACACCGGUGGCGAAGGCGGGUCUCUGGGCCGAUACUGACGCUGAGGAGCGAAAGCGUGGGGAGCGAACAGG